UUUCAUGGCCAGCUUGAAAGAGCGCAGGAUGGAUUCUCGGUUGUCGCAGAAUAUUACGGUCGUGGUGUUUUUAACAAGAUGACGCUGCUGACAGACCCCUCCCCCAGUCGUUUACCGCACGAGUCUACAGCAGAUCAGCGUGAAAGACUCUUGGAGAGUGCGCACAGCUAGGAAAGCUGAUAGCAUCACAGUUCGAUUCUCUUCACUAUAUCAGAUAAGAAAUCAAUAUAGGGGAAAUAGUCCCAACUAGUUUUUGAACAGUCUGUGGGUUCCUGGAAAGUAUGGGAAAGUUCAGCUAUUUUCAAGGGGAAUCACAAUUGUAGCAUUUAGACAAGCAAAUGAGACUGUAGAGUUCGGUGAUUAUUCGAAACCAUGUUUUGUGUCAAGAACAUCAGGAGUACCAUGGCCGGGGCGAAUUUUACACUCGAGGUUUAUUGCUAAAGAUAACUAGCUCCAUUACAUGAAACACAAAACUGCCUGCGGUCUAUCGCUGACCGGAUUGGUGUAACCAAAGAGGAGCAACAAACUAUGAUUCGCUCAAGACAAAACUAGAUACUAUUAGACACUUGAUUAGUUUUUAUUUAGUUUUUAACGGUUCUAAAUGAUUAGGAUUUUGUAUUUAUUGCAAUUUAUGGUUUAUGUAUGCUUUAUGUAUGCUUCGCUUUUAAAUGAGCUUGAGUUGAAACAGAGAGCGAGUAAACAAGUAAUAUAUCA